UAUAAGAGGUUAAACGUGAGGGUACUGGGAAGGUAUUAGCAAGGGGAAUUAAGCCAUGGGGUGUCAUAGGAGCCAUACAAUGGGGGAGUGGUGCAGUAACAAGUAAGUCAGCAUAAUUUGGGGAGGGGGGUAACCUGGGGGAUGUAUGAUUAGACGGGAUAGAUUAUUAUGCCGGAGAUGGGUAGUGGUCCAAAGAGUUUAUUGGCAUGGGAUGGGAUUGCGGCAUAUCAGGUUGUUGGGGAGGUAAUGGCCCUCCAAGGGCUAUAACAGGUACGGGCUUUGAGAGGGGAAGCCCGGAGAUGGGUACUGAGACACAGACCCAGGCCCUAUGGUUUGCAGCAGGCGAGAAACCUUAGCAAUGUGCGAAAGCGCGACUGGGUCAGUCCGAGUGAUUCCUGAUAAGGGAGUCUUUUAUCUGUCGUAAAAGCGCAGGUGAAUAAGGGGUGGGCAAGUCUGGUGUCAGCCGCCGCGGUAAUACCAGCACCUCGAGUGGUCAGGACGUUUAUUGGGCCUAAAGCAUCCGUAGCCGGGUACGCAAGUGUCCGGUUAAAUCCAGCUGCUCAACAGAUGGGCUGCAGGAGAUUCUACAUAGCUAGGGAGCGGGAGAGGCAGACGGUAUUCUGUGGGUAGGGGUAAAAUCCUCUGAUCCAUCGAGGACCACCAGUGGAGAAGGAGGUCUGCCAGAACGCGUUGGACGGUGAGGGAUGAAAGCUGGGGGAGCAAACCGGAUUAGAUACCCGGGUAGUCCCAGCUGUAAACGAUGCAAACUCGGUGAUGCAUUGGCUUAUGGCCAAUGCAGUGCCGCAGGGAAGCCGUUAAGUUUGCAGCCUGGGCAGUACGGUCGCAAGUCUGAAACUUAAAGGAAUAAACGGGGGAGCA
rnacentral:rRNA from 1 species